AAUAGAUACCCAGGUAGUCCACGCCGUAAACGAUGUCAACUAGCCGUUGGAAUCCUUGAGAUUUUAGUGGCGCAGCUAACGCAUUAAGUUGACCGCCUGGGGAGUACGGCCGCAAGGUUAAAACUCAAAUGAAUUGACGGGGGCCCGCACAAGCAGUGGAGCAUGUGGUUUAAUUCGAAGCAACGCGAAGAACCUUACCAGGCCUUGACAUGCAGAGAACUUUCCAGAGAUGGAUUGGUGCCUUCGGGAACUCUGACACAGGUGCUGCAUGGCUGUCGUCAGCUCGUGUCGUGAGAUGUUGGGUUAAGUCCCGUAACGAGCGCAACCCUUGUCCUUAGUUACCAGCACGUUAUGGUGGGCACUCUAAGGAGACUGCCGGUGACAAACCGGAGGAAGGUGGGAUGACGUCAAGUCAUCAUGGCCCUUACGGCCUGGGCUACACACGUGCUACAAUGGUCGGUACAGAGGGUUGCCAAGCCGCGAGGUGGAGCUAUCUCACAAACCGAUCGUAGUCCGGAUCGC
rnacentral:rRNA from 1 species